UUUUUCUUUGAUUCCAAAAUUCAACAAUCAAACAGAUAAACAUAAGCUAUGUCCCUGAAGGCACCAUCUCAUGUGGUCUCCGUAGUGUAGUGGUUAUCACGUUCGCCUAACACGUGGAAGGUCCCCGUUUCGAGACCGGGCGGAAACAGCUGUUGAUGUUUCCUUCUUGAUUCCGAACUUCAACAAUCAAACAGAUAACCAUACGCUAUGUCCCUGAACGCACCAUCUCAUUUGGUUUCCGUAGUGUAGUGGUUAUCACGUUCGCCUCACACGCGAAAGGUCCCCGGUUCGAGACCGGGAGGAAACAGUCGUUGGUGUUUCUUUCUUUGAUUCCGAACUUCAACAAUCAAACAGAUAAACAUACGCUAUGUCCCUGAACGCACCAUCUCAUGCGGUUUCCUUAGUGUAGUGGUUAUCACGUUCGCCUAACACUGGAAAGGUCCCCGGAUCCGGACCGGGCGGAAACAGUCGUUGGUGUUUUUUUCUUUGAUUCUUCAACAAUCAAACAGAUAAACAUAAGCUAUGUCCCUGAACGCACCAUCUCAUGCGGUUUCCUUAGUGUAGUGGUUAUCACGUUCGCCUAACACUGGAAAGGUCCCCGGUUAGAGACCGGGCGGAAACAGUGUUGGAUGUUUUUUUCUUUAUUCCGCACUUCAACAAUCAAACAGAUGAACAUAAAGCUAUGUCCCUGAACGCACCAUCUCAUGUGGUUUCCGUAGUGUAGUGGUUAUCACGUUCGCCUCACACACGAAAAGGUCCUCGGUUCGAGACCGAGCAGAAACAGUUGUUGUUGUUUUUUUCUUUGAUUCUUCAACAAUCAAACAGAUAAACAUACGCUAUGUCCCUGAAAGCACCAUCUCCUGUGGUUUCCGUAGUGUAGUGGUUAUCACGUUCGCCUCACACGCGAAAGGUCCCCGGUUCGAGACCGGGCGGAAACAGUCGUUGAUCUAUUUUUGUCUAUAUUCCGAACUUCAGCAAUCAAACAGAUAAACAUAAGCUAUGUCCCUGAACGUACCAUCUCAUGUGGUUUCCGUAGUGUAGUGGUUAUCACGUUCGCCUAACAUGCGAAAGGUACCCGGUUCGAGACUGGGCGGAAACAGUCGUUGAUGUUUUUUUCUUUAUUUCCAACUUCAGCAUUCAAACAGAUAUACAUACGCUAUGUCCCUGAAAGCACCAUCCCUGGUGGUUUCCGUAGUGUAGUGG
ensembl:lncRNA